AGCAGCCGCGGUAAUUCCAGCUCCAAUAGCGUAUAUUAAAGUUGUUGCAGUUAAAAAGCUCGUAGUUGAAUUUCGGGAUUGACGUGAUGGUCAUGCCUUAAGGGGUAUGAACUGUUACAGUUGGUUUCUCACCUUCUGGAGAAACUUGAUGUCCUUUAUUGGGUGUCUUGCGGAUCCAGGACCUUUACCUUGAAAAAAUUAGAGUGUUUAAAGCAGGCAUUUUUGCUCGAAUACAUUAGCAUGGAAUAAUAGAAUAGGACGGCAUGGUUCUAUUUUGUUGGUUUCUAGGAUCACCGUAAUGAUUAAUAGGGAUAGUUGGGGGCAUUAGUAUUCAAUUGUCAGAGGUGAAAUUCUUGGAUUUAUUGAAGACUAACUACUGCGAAAGCAUUUGCCAAGGAUGUUUCCAUUAAUCAAGAACGAAAGUUAGGGGAUCGAAGACGAUCAGAUACCGUCGUAGUCUUAACCAUAAACUAUGCCGACUAGGAAUCAGACGUAUGUUAAUUUUUUAAUGUACUCGUUU
rnacentral:rRNA from 1 species